AUCGCUUCUCGGCCUUUUGGCUCAGAUCAAGUGUAGUAUUUGUUCUUAUCAGUUUAAUAUCUGAUACGUCCCCCAUCGGGGGACUACAUAUUAAAUGGAUUUUUCGAACAGGGAGUCGGAAAUGGGGCUUGCUCCGUCCGCUCCACGCAUCGACCCGGUAUUGCAGUACCUCCGGGAACGGUGCAACACUU
rnacentral:snRNA from 8 species